GACGAACGCUGGCGGCGUGCUUAACACAUGCAAGGCGAGCGGAAAGGCCCUUCGGGGUACUCGAGCGGCGAACGGGUGAGUAACACGUGAGUAACCUGCCCUAGGCUCUGGGAUAACUGUCGGAAACGAUGGCUAAUACCGGAUAUUCAGACGGUGGCGAAUGAUUGGGGUGGGAAAGUUUUUCGGCUUGGGAUGCGCCCGCGGCCUAUCAGCUUGUUGGUGGGGUGGUGGCCUACCAAGGCUUCGACGGGUAGCCGGCCUGAGAGGGCGAUCGGCCACACUGGGACUGAGACACGGCCCAGACUGCUACGGGAGGCAGCAGUGGGGAAUAUUGCAGAAUGGGCGAAAGCCUGAUGCAGCGACGCCGCGUGAGGGAUGACGGCCUUCGGGUUGUAAACCUCUUUCAGCAGGGACGAAGCGUAAGUGACGGUACCUGCAGAAGAAGCGCCGGCCAACUACGUGCCAGCAGCCGCCGUAA
rnacentral:rRNA from 1 species